rnacentral:rRNA from 1 species
GAUGAACGCUGGCGGCGUGCUUAACACAUGCAAGUCGAACGAAAAGGCCCUGCUUUUGUGCGGUUCUCGAUUGGGGAACGCGUGAGUAUCACGUGUGUAUCCUCUCCUUGUCUUUCGGGUAACUUCAGGAAACUCGGGCUAAUACCGGAUAGGAGCUCCUGCUGCAUGGUGUUCGUUGGAAAGUUUCGGCUGUUGGGGAUGGAAUCGCGGCUUAUCAGCUUGUUGGUGGAGUAGUUGCGUACCAAGGCUUCGACGGGUAGCCGGCCUGAGAGGGUGGACGGGGACAAUGGGACUACGGGAGGGCCCAGACUCCAACGGGACGCAACAGGGGGGAAUAUUGCGCAACGGGGCGAAGCCUGAUACAACGACUCUGGGUGCGGAAAGACGGGCUAUGGGUGGUGAACAGCUUUCGCCUGUGACGAAGCGUUAUUGACGGUAAUGAAUCAAGAAGCACCGGCUAACUACGUG